UCCCUGGUGGUCCAGUGGCUAGGACUCUGCACUCCCAAUGCAAGGAGUGCAAGUUCAAUUCCUGGUCAAGGAA
rnacentral:tRNA from 1 species